AUGUCUAAUAAAAGGACAUACUGCCUUGUUUUUUGGAAAAAUUCAAAAACUGCAUCUGUAAUAAAAACAAAUAAUAUUAAAAAUACAAAAAAAAAAAUGGUGUAACAGCAAGGAAGAACAACUUUUCUUCUGACUUAAGAAUAUUGAUGAAAGAUGAUGACAAAGAUUCCUUGAAAAUGGUCGAGGUUGACAAAAAUGGAGAAGUUAUCACCAAAAAAAAAAAAAACUAAUUUGGACAAACCAAACACAAGCAGCAGUUGUAAAAAAAAAUAAUAUUCCCGGUUGUUCAGACAACAAAAAGUAUUUAUAUGAUUUACCAAUAUUUAGUGACGAAAAAAGUGAAGAAGUUUAAAAAAUAUGCAAAAAACUUGAAUUUGAUUGAUACUGGAUCAGAUCAUAGCGGAGAUGCAGUUUCAAAACAAAAAAGUAAAGGAAAAGAAAAUCUGAUAACUCUAAAGAUAGUAUGAGAAAGGCAGCUGGAAGCCGCAGAGAUUAAAAAUUUCGUCGAUUUUAACUCCAAAAAUGUUACUCCACAGGAAGAUGGUAGAAGAAGAAGUACACUUUUUUCUAGUAACAAUUAUUGCAAAAUUUAAUUUAAUUCAAAUUUUUGUAAUAUUUUUGUUCUA